GGCGGUGUAGCUCAACUGGCUAGAGCGUACGGUUCAUACCCGUAAGGUUAAGAGUUCAAGUCUCUUCGCCGCUACCA
rnacentral:tRNA from 1 species